AAUUAAUAUUAAUCAAUAUAACAAAAAAUAUUUUAACCAUAUGGUCCUUUCGUACUAAUAUGGAUUAACAAUCUUAGGAUAGAAACCGACCUGGCUCACGCCGGUCUGAACUCAGAUCAUGUAAGAAUUUAAAGGUCGAACAGACCUAAUCAUUGGGCUCCUGCACCCAAAAUUUUUCUUAAUCCAACAUCGAGGUCGCAAUCUGCUUUGUCGAUAUGAGCUCUCAAAAACAAUUACGCUGUUAUCCCUAAGGUAACUUAAUCUUAUGAUCAUAAAUUAUGGAUCAAAAUAACAAACAUAAAUAAAUGAUAUAAUAAUGAAGAGUUUAUCUAUUCUUCAUGUCACCCCAACAAAACAUCAUCAUUAAAUAUAGAAAGACAAACCAAAAACUAUAUAAAAGUAAAAUGUCAAGCCAUAUAGGGUCUUCUCGUCCUAAAGAAGAAUUUAAGCCUUUUGACUCAAAAGUUAAAUUCAAAAAUUUAUUAAGAGACAGUUGAUUUCUCGUCAAGCCAUUCAUUCCAGCCACUAAUUAAGAGACUAAUGAUUAUGCUACCUUUGCACGGUCAAAAUACCGCGGCUCUUUAAAAAUAUGCUCAGUGAGCAGGCCAGACCUCAAAAUAUAAACAAGAGGACAUGUUUUUGAUAAACAGGCGGAAAUCAAUUUUGCCUAGUUCCUUAUAAUAAGUUCACAAGGUAAAAAUUUCAUACAAAUAAAUAUACUAAUUCUAUCAUUAUUACAAAAAUUUUAAAAUUAAAUUAAUAAUCUUAAUAAAAAACCUAAAAUAUUUAUAAAAUCAAAAUAAAAAAUAAUGAACUAAAACGUAAUCUUAAAGAUAGCUGGUUUAAAGCUUACUAUUAUAUUUCUAUAAAAUAAAUUAUAGAUUAUUAAUUUAAUUUUAAAAUUUUUGUAAUAAUGAUAGAAUUAGUAUAUUUAUUUGUAUGAAAUUUUUACCUUGUGAACUUAUUAUAAGGAACUAGGCAAAAUUGAUUUCCGCCUGUUUAUCAAAAACAUGUCCUCUUGUUUAUAUUUUGAGGUCUGGCCUGCUCACUGAGCGUAUUUUUAAAGAGCCGCGGUAUUUUGACCGUGCAAAGGUAGCAUAAUCAUUAGUCUCUUAAUUAGUGGCUGGAAUGAAUGGCUUGACGAGAAAUCAACUGUCUCUUAAUAAAUUUUUGAAUUUAACUUUUGAGUCAAAAGGCUUAAAUUCUUCUUUAGGACGAGAAGACCCUAUAGAGCUUGACAUUUUACUUUUAUAUAGUUUUUUGUUUGUCUUUCUAUAUUUAAUGAUGAUGUUUUGUUGGGGUGACAUGAAGAAUAGAUAAACUCUUCAUUAUUAUAUCAUUUAUUUAUGUUUGUUAUUUUGAUCCAUAAUUUAUGAUCAUAAGAUUAAGUUACCUUAGGGAUAACAGCGUAAUUGUUUUUGAGAGCUCAUAUCGACAAAGCAGAUUGCGACCUCGAUGUUGGAUUAAGAAAAAUUUUGGGUGCAGGAGCCCAAUGAUUAGGUCUGUUCGACCUUUAAAUUCUUACAUGAUCUGAGUUCAGACCGGCGUGAGCCAGGUCGGUUUCUAUCCUAAGAUUGUUAAUCCAUAUUAGUACGAAAGGACCAUAUGGUUAAAAUAUUUUUUGUUAUGUUGAUUAAUAUUAAUUUAUUUA